UAUUAUGACAACAUAAGAGCACUACGAGAUCCCAACAACAGAGUCGAUCAUCUCACCCCCUUAUCCAUUACCAACACACCAACCAUUCGUUUAAGACUCACCCUCACUGAUAACAAAAAAUUCUAUCUUUUAAUAUUUUAGCAAUAACAUUUUACAUCUAAGUAGGACCCCGGUAAAUCUUUCCCGAAGCUCACAGUCAAACCUAAACAAUGGUUAUUCUUAGCAGAUUAAUUCUCAAUUUCACAAGUAUACCCAAAAUACAACCUUUACAAAAUCCCCAUCCGGUGACAAUUUGGAGUAUCACGUGAACCCAAAGUUUCAAGGAAUGCAAGUAACAAUGACGGAAACUUUAUCAAGGAGACUCUUGUUAUCUCAAGGCUGCCGAUGAUACAUACCUAACUAAAUAUUUUUAUGAGGAGCUUCGAUUCACUUCUAGAGGGUCAAUCGCGGCUCUCCAACAGAUCGCGAGAUCUCCAUUUUCGAAGUCAAGUUUGAUUUACAAUUGUGUCUCAAUUUACAUUGCCUUUGAAGGCUGCAUAACUCGGCUUCAAUUUCUUAGAAGAAGGAAACCUACACGGCAGUGACGAAUAUAGUUUGCAAACUGAUGUCUAAAAGGGAAACCCAAACUCGCCUCAGAAAUUUAAGUCAACUAGGAAGGAGACGACCGCCACAGUUUUGUCGAGUCAUUUUUCUAUGUGUAUUUGGAUUGGAAGUUGGAUUCACCUCAUUGUAACUGGACCGGAGCAGUGAAUCAUAAAGUCAUCAAGAGCUAGAAGUGUUUCAGCGUUUACUAAGAGAUUCAAUAGAACUUCCUGUGUCAGGGCAGGGAUGCUUGAUUUUCUUCUGAAUUGGUUUUGAAAGACAAACUACAUGUCUUCUUGAUAACUUCUUCAUUCAAUCCUAGUAGUUCACUCGCAAUUGUUAUUGGCGAUUUUCGGCGGAAAUUGGAAUGAAUGGUGAUGGAUGAAAUUACUUAGUUGAUGGAGAUGACUGAAUUAAAGUUCAUCCCAACCUUCUAAAGGGGAUCCAUGACAAAAUCUUAAUGACGAACUCUGUCGUGGAGGAGAUACUCUUCUUAUAUGGAGAUCGAAUCCAAGUUUCUAUCCGACAGAACUGUGGAUGGUGGUAGCUUCUAUGCAGAAUAGGAUAUUCAUCUUCGAAGGAUAUUGAGUCUAUGGAUACAAGCAUGUAAAACUGACAGCCAAAUUCAGGAAGGCGAUGCACUUGCGACUGAUAUGCAAAUAACAAUCAAGGCUAUAUAUCUUACAAUUAUUUUACCAGGAUGUGCUAUGGUAUCUAUAACAGAUAUCUUUGCACCAAAAGAGGGAGAUUACACAAGCAGCUGGGAAAUGCCAUAAACUAAUGCAAAAUUUACCAUCAGAGACACAAAGGGAAGGUAAACGGGAAGGUCUUCGUCAGUGGAGCCUUAACCAUAAUUCACGAGCAGUUCUGUCAUGGGAAGGUAUAGUUGAACAGACGAUUACUGAAACAGAACAAUGCAUUGAUUUUAUUUAUGUAGUUGUUUAUACUUGUACUACACUUUAGUACCGGUCAUUGGACAAGUUUUUUUGGCUGAUGUAAAAUUAUUUGUUUUGUACUACACUCUAUGAAUUGGUGUCACUUGGUCUCCAAUGCAACGUCAUUUGUA